rnacentral:rRNA from 1 species
UACGUAGGGUGCAAGCGUUAAUCGGAAUUACUGGGCGCAAAGCGUGCGCAGGCGGUUUUGUAAGUUUGUCGUGAAAUCCCCGGGCUCAACCUGGGAAUGGCGAUGAAGACUGCAAGGCUAGAAUCUGGCAGAGGGGGGGUAGAAUUCCACGUGUAGCAGUGAAAUGCGUAGAGAUGUGGAGGAACACCGAUGGCGAAGGCAGCCCCCUGGGUCAAGAUUGACGCUCAUGCACGAA